rnacentral:rRNA from 1 species
GAUGAACGCUGGCGGCGUGCUUAACACAUGCAAGUCGAACGAUGAAGCCCAGCUUGCUGGGUGGAUUAGUGGCGAACGGGUGAGUAACACGUGAGUAACCUGCCCUUAACUCUGGGAUAAGCCUGGGAAGCUGGGUCUAAUACCGGAUAGGAGCGUCCACCGCAUGGUGGGUGUUGGAAAGAUUUAUCGGUUUUGGAUGGACUCGCGGCCUAUCAGCUUGUUGGUGAGGUAAUGGCUCACCAAGGCGACGACGGGUAGCCGGCCUGAGAGGGUGACCGGCCACACUGGGACUGAGACACGGCCCAGACUCCUACGGGAGGCAGCAGUGGGGAAUAUUGCACAAUGGGCGAAAGCCUGAUGCAGCGACGCCGCGUGAGGGAUGACGGCCUUCGGGUUGUAAACCUCUUUCAGUAGGGAAGAAGCGAAAGUGACGGUACCUGCAGAAGAAGCACCGGCUAACUACGUG